GGGCUCUGACGAUACUGGAAAGCGGGAAAGCGGGUCAUCUUGCCUCGCAACAAGCAGGAAGAAGCGGGAAGAACCCGGCGAACCGAUUUGAUUGGCUGACGCCUUCCCACGUCCGUUGACUUACGGUGCAGUGGGCACGAGGCGUGAGGCAGCCGCAGAACCAAUUAUUACGGCCCACCUCUUCCCUGUAUUUAGCUAUGAAAAACGUAAGUUUGCGAGAGUGGAAGACGGCAAUGGACAAACCAAAGCGUAAACUUAAAGGUGGAGCUGAAAAGCUCAGGGCCAAAAGGCUCAAAAAUCUAGCCGCAGACGCCGGAAAAUGUGCUAAAAUAACUGACAUGUUCAGUGGAGGUGCUUCGGGAGCCCCCUCCACCUCAGGUGAAUCAAGCACCACCAGCACCAGUGGACAGGGCGAGGGGGCUAGCUGUAGCGAUCCACCCAUGGAGACAGCACAGAUGGUGGAAGAUGAACAGGGAGGAGGAGAUGAUGAGUCCGAACCCGAGGGUCAUGGACUGAGUGAGCCGCUGCCGGUGCACCAGUCAAGCCAGACUGUUGAGGCAGAUGUUGACUACUUUUGCCGUCCAGACCGUGCUACACUGCAAACUUUUUUGAACCACCAUCCAAAGCAAGAUGCUCCAAACCCAAUAGGAAAGGUCUUCACAAACAAAGAAGGUUUCAUGAGUGUUUGAUGGACUGUAGUCGGUGUAGACAGACAAGGCUAUGCACCAAGUGAGUAAACAUAUAAACAUAUACACAUUACCACAACAUAAAAGUGUUACAAAUCUGAUGUUGUAUGUGCCUAACAUCAGAGUGGGUAUGUGCCCCCCCCCCC